GACAGUCAAAUAUCAGCUGGUAAUUCUGAGGAUGCAUGUUAAUUCACUCAGGUUGCUUGCUGGUAUGUGGCUAUU
rnacentral:pre_miRNA from 1 species